CGUAGCCUGCGGAGGACACAGACGAGGGCAGGGGUUAACCACGCUUUCCACCCUGAAUCCCGGCUCCGCCCGGAGCAGGGCACUCCCCCAUCCCCCUCUCUCCCUCGCCCACGAGGAAGCUGGAUCCAAAUGCGGUUGGGGAUCCCCAUCUCAAACCACCGAGAGAAGGGCUUUUCACACUAGCCAGAGAGUCCUGAUCCCUGCGGCCCUCAGCUCUGGUUGACCGCCCUGCCCUCGGCCUGGCAGCGAACCACAGGACUGCUCUGGGCCGACCACCUGCCCGGACCCCGGCCCGGGGAGUCCCGGGCGGGCAGGCAGGCAGGGGACCGAGGCCCAAUGUCCCAUUCUUGGUGGUCCCAGAAGGGGGCCGGAGAGGCUCAGCCAACAGUUCUCUGCCUUCCCCUCGGAGGGUUCGGCAGUAGAGGCGAAUCCACGUCUCAGAACGGCGCGUCGGAGGACGGAAUGGCUGCCGGCACCUAAGGCGGGGGAGAGGAAAGAGAGCGGCUCCUGCCGCCGCAGCCUCUUCUAAAACACCCCAAGACCCUUCUCCUGCCCAGGGUGCCGUGGCAGGAGAAGGGAGGGUCUCCAACUUCAGCGGAGAACUGGAGGAUGCAGCUGAGGAGGCUGUCGGCAGGGAGAGGGAAAUGGGGCGUGCACCACACCGUGGUCUGCCGGACCAAUCCUGCCUUGCGAGCCCUGCUGAAGGAAGGGGGAGGAGGAGGACGACGACGACAGAGGCAGGCCUACGCUCCCUCCUCAAGUGGGAGAUGUGCCAACAGCUAAAUGCAUUUCCACGGGAGAUGUACCCACCCAACCUACACGCCCAGGGCACCCAGCCCGUCUACGCCUCUCCUGUUCGGACGGUUUUCUCGGAUCGAAAUCAUUCCUUCCCCGCCUGGGUGCCCUCCGAUCUGAGUCCAAAGACGCCCAAGGGGUUUGAACUUCCGAUGGCUCUUGGUAAGCCGAGAGUGGAAUAAAAGGAGCUGAGACUUCUGGA